rfam:Stomoxys calcitrans breed 8C7A2A5H3J4 unplaced genomic scaffold Scaffold228, whole genome shotgun sequence.
AUUGUUUGAGGCGCUUAUACAUCACAGACUCCCUUAAGUAUAUGCAGAAUCAUGAACUUGGGUUUCAACCGUUGUAAUCUUAGUAGCUGUUGUUAAAGUUUUAAACAGUUGCUGUAAGGCCAGCGGUAUAUUAAAGACUAUAGCACUAUUGUAGACUAUUGUUUAUUAAUAGAAACAAAUGAACAAUUUAUUUUGGUGCUAACAAAACUACAAGUAUGAAACUUUGAUUUGCUUAUACCUUCUAUUAACGAUGCAUAACGUUUAGAUGUUGCUAAUGCCAAUAUUGAUGACAUCUUUAGUAAUCUGAAAACC